UACGUAGGUGGCAAGCGUUAUCCAGAAUUAUUGGGCGUAAAGAGCGCGCAGGUGGUUGAUUAAGUCUGAUGUGAAAGCCCACGGCUUAACCGUGGAGGGUCAUUGGAAACUGGUCGACUUGAGUGCAGAAGAGGGAAGUGGAAUUCCAUGUGUAGCGGUGAAAUGCGUAGAGAUAUGGAGGAACACCAGUGGCGAAGGCGGCUUCCUGGUCUGUAACUGACACUGAGGCGCGAAAGCGUGGGGAGCAAACAGGAUUA
rnacentral:rRNA from 1 species